GUAUUAAGAUGAAAAGAAACAGCUUGCUCUCACACUUCUCAAACCAUGGUCUCCUCAUCUCUCUGGUUGUUUCUGCUGCUAGCAGCUGUCUCUUGUGUCCACUGUGUUGAACUGACCCAGACUGAUUCUGUGGUCUUAAGGCCUGGUCAGGUUUUGACUCUGUCCUGUAAGAUCUCUGGAUAUUCAUUGACUGACAGCAGCUACUGCACUGACUUCAUACGACAGGCUGCAGGAAAAGCUCUGGAAUGGGUUGUAGAGAUAUGUAGUAGCGGUAGCACAUAUUACAGUGAAAAACUGAAAAGUAGAUAUCAAGUUAGCAGAGACACUUCCAGCAGCACAGUGACUCUACAAGGACAGAAUAUGCAGACUGAGGACACAGCUGUGUAUUACUGCGCCAGAGAGUCACAGUGACACAGAGCAGUUACUGCCUUGUUCAAAAACAACAUUGUCACUCACAACACAAAUAGUUUCAGUUCCAGAUUACAUUCAAUCAUCAAAAAAUUACAGUACAACCUUUGAAAUUUUUUAGUAAAAGUUUAAAUAGAGAUUAUUAUUUUUAAAUGUGCAAAUAUUUCAUUCAUAUUUCUGUCUUCUCUACUUGUCACUCAAAGCUCAGUUCACUGACAUAAUCCUGUCUUCUGAUAAUUGUGUUAUGAGUGAAUUCUUGACACAUUUUACAAGAGGGCGCACUGUUCUCACAUGUCCUUAAGUCAUGGUAAAUACAAUAUGAGUCUCAGUAGAAGGAUUCUCUAGAUAACACAUUAUUUCAUGAUAGUGAAGUCUCUUUUUAUGAAUUAUAAAUAGAACUCAAUCUUCAGACAUUCUAAAAUAGAUAUAAUUGCUGAUACUGUCAUCACUGAAUUAUUUAUUUAUUGAUCCAUUCUCAUGAUGUUUCUGAGAGCAGCUUUUCUACUUACUGAACACAGCACUGUUACAGAUCCCUUGUUCCCCCUGGACUCCAUUUCCCAUGAU